UGCUCUGCCAGCUGAUCGGACUGAGAAGCCGGUUUGAAGGUAGUUGGAAUCGGGAGAGAAGGCGAGCCGUACUAGGAGCCCAGAAAUCAGAGAAAAUGAUAGGCGCUGCGGUUCCCCAAAUCGAGACAAGGAGACUCGUCUCAUGGCUGGCUGGCUGGAGGAGCGCGUGUGCGUACACACACGCGUGUGCAUGUGCGUGUUGGCUGAUCUGCAGCAGUUCUUCACUGGCAAGCUUUAUGUCCGUGUGUCCCAGCUAAAGCUGCCAGCUGAAGAACUGUUGUGGUCUGCUCUUUCCUACGACGCACGGGAGGAAGACGAGGAAGAUCCUGUGGAGUACUGGGCAUCUCAGGCCAAAGAAUCGGUCAUGUGACACUGACGGGUCAUCCUCAUUCUCACACAAACGUAGACUGUGCGCAAUUACUUAAAAUGGACCUGCAAAAAACGAACUAAGCUAAAAACAGGAUAUGAGGAAGUUGCAACUUGAAAAACUUGCAUACAGACGCGCACAGGAUUUAUGUGUUUCUCAGGCAUAAACAGGAGCUAGCAGUACUACACCUCUGUGACACUACCGUAUUCCAGACCAUCUACGUUAUGUAUCUAGGACAUGGUGAUGGAAGGAGAUCAGGGAUGUGUUGAGGCAGGGGUGCCUGACUGAGAGACUAAUUUAACCCACGGAGGUCAGCUCCUGGAGGAGGCCUUGGCUGCGCCUCCUCCAGGACAGGAGGAGAUACUGCGCCUCCUACGGGCAUCUCCUGCCUCUUCCUCAAUGCUCCUCUGCUCCUCAGGAGCAUCAUCCCUGAUCUCCACGUUCACAGAGAAAUGGAAAUGUAGACUAUUGUACUCUGCCAUACCAUUCUGCAUGUGACUGUCAUUACAAUAAAAUAAUAAAAGGAGUACAGU